ACGAACGCUGGCGGCGCGCCUAACACAUGCAAGUCGAACGGAGCUGAGAGGAGCUUGCUUUUCUUAGCUUAGUGGCGAACGGGUGAGUAACGCGUGAGUAACCUGCCCUGGAGUGGGGGACAACAGUUGGAAACGACUGCUAAUACCGCAUAAGCCCACGAUCCGGCAUCGGAUUGAGGGAAAAGGAUUUAUUCGCUUCAGGAUGGACUCGCGUCCAAUUAGCUAGUUGGUGAGGUAACGGCCCACCAAGGCGACGAUUGGUAGCCGGACUGAGAGGUUGAACGGCCACAUUGGGACUGAGACACGGCCCAGACUCCUACGGGAGGCAGCAGUGGGGGAUAUUGCACAAUGGGGGAAACCCUGAUGCAGCGACGCCGCGUGGAGGAAGAAGGUUUUCGGAUUGUAAACUCCUGUCGUUAGGGACGAUAAUGACGGUACCUAACAAGAAAGCACCGGCUAACUACGUGCCAGCAGCCGCGGUAAAACGUAGGGUGCAAGCGUUGUCCGGAAUUACUGGGUGUAAAGGGAGCGCAGGCGGACCGGCAAGUUGGAAGUGAAAACUAUGGGCUCAACCCAUAAAUUGCUUUCAAAACUGCUGGCCUUGAGUAGUGCAGAGGUAGGUGGAAUUCCCGGUGUAGCGGUGGAAUGCGUAGAUAUCGGGAGGAACACCAGUGGCGAAGGCGACCUACUGGGCACCAACUGACGCUGAGGCUCGAAAGCAUGGGUAGCAAACAGGAUUAGAUACCCUGGUAGUCCAUGCCGUAAACGAUGAUUACUGGGUGUUGGAGGAUUGACCCCUUCAGUGCCGCAGUUAACACAAUAAGUAAUCCACCUGGGGAGUACGACCGCAAGGUUGAAACUCAAAGGAAUUGACGGGGGCCCGCACAAGCAGUGGAGUAUGUGGUUUAAUUCGAAGCAACGCGAAGAACCUUACCAGGUCUUGACAUCCGAUGCAUAGUGCAGAGAUGCAUGAAGUCCUUCGGGACAUCGAGACAGGUGGUGCAUGGUUGUCGUCAGCUCGUGUCGUGAGAUGUUGGGUUAAGUCCCGCAACGAGCGCAACCCUUAUUGCCAGUUACUACGAAAGAGGACUCUGGCGAGACUGCCGUUGACAAAACGGAGGAAGGUGGGGAUGACGUCAAAUCAUCAUGCCCCUUAUGAGCAGGGCUACACACGUGCUACAAUGGCGUAAACAAAGGGAAGCGAACCCGCGAGGGUGGGCAAAUCCCAAAAAUAACGUCUCAGUUCGGAUUGUAGUCUGCAACUCGACUACAUGAAGCUGGAAUCGCUAGUAAUCGCGAAUCAGAAUGUCGCGGUGAAUACGUUCCCGGGCCUUGUACACACCGCCCGUCACACCAUGAGAGUUGGGGAUACCCGAAGCCUGUGAGCCAACAGUUAAAUGAGGCAGCAGUCGAAGGUAGAAUCAAUGAUUGGGGUG
rnacentral:rRNA from 1 species